UGAUUUUUUUUUUUUUUUCCACAAAAUAUGUAUGUCGCAAUGGUGUUUUGUCAACAAAACUGUGUUAGGUGAGUAGGCUUUUAGAAUAAAUGGCGUAGCAUGACAGGAGGUGUAUUUUACCAUUUGUUGAAACUGAAUUAAAGCACGGAAAAAACCUUCUUUUUGGAAAAUCGACAGCUGUGUUGUUUAUUUACAGGAAAUACUUAAGAAAAAAGGAAUCAUACAAGAUAUGCAAGAUACUCUAUACAAGAAAAAUGUGCUACGUAAAAUACAUACAUAAAGUACUUUUUGAGCUAUUUAGUAUCCUAUGUGUCGAGAUGCUGUAACUCCUUGUGCACAGCCUGUUCAAGUAGGGAAUAUUGCGCCGAUAUUCGACCGACAGUCUAGAACAAUAGCCCUAGGUGUGAUCCCAACCCCUCGCCAACCCCGACGCAGGCUGAUUUGCAAGUGCCUUUAUCACCACUGGAAGGCUUACAUUACAUUUGGCUUACAUGUCUGGCAGAUAUAAGUUUUGUUCCCUGAACAUCUGCCGAUUUGGCACUGUCUCCUUUUCGCAGGUGGAGAAGGAGUUUCAGGCAAAAGUCACUUGCAUGCUGUCGCUGCUGCUCAGCGCUUCUAGGUAUAAGUGGGUCAAACCAGUACGGCGCUUCUAGCAAGAUAUCACAGCGGUCAAAUGACCGGCGCUCGGCGCUUCUAGUGUUAAAGGGAAAAGAGAACAAUGGGUUUUUCUUUUUGUUUGUGCAUAUGCUCCAGUGCAUUGCACAGCUGAACAAAGUGCUUCCAGGGAGACGUGCUUUUCGUGAUUCUAUUUCCACCAAGGACAUCGAUAUUUCCAGAGCCAGAACUACUGAUGGUUCCAAUUUUAACUAUUUAGGCAACACAGCUUCCUGAAUCUUUCACACGUGUCACUGCAAAAGAUUCCAGAAUGGUGUUCGGAUGUCUUCCUUUGUUCCUUUGCAAUUCUCCUGCUUUAUCUAUUUGAGCUCUGCAGGUUUUGCAUACAAGUUGUCCACAGGGAUGUCAAAAAAACCCCCCAAAAAACCUGUAUCUGAGAAGCAUGCAGGUCCAUAGUGAUAUGUUUGGCCCCAGACACAGAGCAUGUUGGCCACCGACCUGACAGACAUCGGAGCACGACUCGUGUCUUUUUUGUCCUGUUAGGGAUAGGGGAAGGAGCUCGCCAAUGCAAGGUCCCGCUUUUCUGGGCUUUGAUGCCCAGAUGGGUUUAGGGUCUGAUAAAUGCACGCAUGCCCCUUGCGGGGUCAGGGCUGAGCUUUGAGGCUGCCUUCUUCUUGACCUCUUUCUUGGGAUUCUUUAGCUGAUGCAGCAGGGGCUGUGCUUUCUUCUGCCAUUGAGGCAUGUAGUUGAAUAUGUGGCUUUCCUUUGGUGAAGGGUGACAAGGUUCUUGAUUGCGAGCUUGACACGAGACUUGUUCUUCUUUACAAGAAGGCCUGCGGGUGGGUUUAGGAUCUGAUAAAUGCACACCACCUUCGAAAGAGCUCGCCAAUGCUAGGUCCCGCUUUUCUAGGCUUUGAUGCCCAGAUGGGUUGGUCUGAGAAAAGCAUGCCUGCCCCUUGCGGGGUCAGCGCUGGGCUUUGAGGCCGCCUUCUUCUUAGGAUUCUUUAGCUGGUGCAGCAGGAGCAACUGGGGCUGCGGUUUCUUAUGUUGUGGCUUUCCUUUGGUGAAUGCCUGAAUGUAGGCGUCUUACUUCUUUUGCCUCCUUGUUCCAGGCUCAAACUCUUUGAGUUACCUAAAUGUCACCUUACGGCUGAGUUUAAAUGCUUUGCACCUCUUACAGUGGAGGACCCGCUUCUCUGGGCUUUGACGCCGCCUUCUUUUUGCUAGGCUUCUUUUUGUGCCCGCACUGUGCCGCUCAAAUUAUGCUCAGUGCUUCUGGCAAUCACACCUAGAAUGUAUAAAUGUAGAUAUAUGCAAUAGGUUAAUGAACAACAUAAAACAAACAACAUUUAGGGACAUACGGGUACAUACAGUUUAUUUUCACUGAAAAAUAAUGACAAAUCAAUUAGAUACAGGGUUUAAUGACUACAAGUAAGUGUGACUACAGUGACAACAUCAUUGUUGUUAAGGUCGCAUGAAUUUGUGCUUUUCAGGAGCCAGAGGCCUGCUAUUCAAACUCAUGAUUUUGUACAGGCACUGUGUUGUUGAUGAUGAAGAUGUGCUGGUGGGCCCCUCCCCGCCCCCAGGCCGGGUGGGUUUAGGAUCUGACAAAUGCACACCACCUCCAUCAUCCUCCAGCACCUCCUCCAUGGCUCUUUCCAGCUGGUUAUGCCCAUUCCACGACAUCCUAAGCCUGGGUUUAAAUUGCCAAGUUAGAGAAGCCAUUUCUCAGGCUCCCUCUUCUCUCCCCUCUGAUAAAUGCGCUUCUUUGGCAACUCUGUGCUCGCCGAUGCUAGGUCCUGCUUUUCCGGGCUAGGAUGCCCCCUUCUUCUUGGACACUUCCGGUGGACAGCCUAUUGGUUGGAUCCAUAUCACCCAUCUUUGAUCCACAUUGUCAUUUUCUAUUACAUUUCAGUAAUGCUCUUUAAUUUAUUUAUUCUUCUCGCGGGGUCAGCACACUUUUGCAUUUAUUAGCUCUAGAAUUGCUACAGUUAUCCAUAGACCAGGGUAGAACGCUCAAAGGAACCGUAACUUGAUUUAAUGAGCCAUUCGCAGUUUCCCCAGCCUCCAUCAUCCUCCAGCACCUCCUCCAUGGCUCUUUCCAGCUACACAUGCCCAUUCCACGACAUCUUAAGCCUGGGUUUACCCUCAGAGCCGUUUACCCUCCUCAAAAGAGGGUUAAAAUGUAGUGUUUUGUUGCUCUGGGUUUGUAAAUACUUCAGUUAAGCACCCAGGGCAGGUGAGGGACAAUGUAGCCCUAUUUUCUUGAACGUUUUCUAAGAAAUGGAAUCACGUCACAUGUUGCACAUGUUUCUAUAAACUGUGCAAACACACUGAACCCUAACCCUAACCUUAACUCUCAUUCUGAGCUUCAGGGAAUUUCAAGAUAAUUGAAUGAUUAAUUCUGUAGAUGAAGUGUGAAUGAGUGCCCAUUACUGGAAAUAGGCAUCUGCUUAUCAACAAAACAAGAAAAAGAAACAGUGAUAGAAAGAGUGUACAUUUAUUGCUGACACUUUUUUAACACAUUGUAUAAUACAGACACAGUUUGAAAAGAUGCUUAAAGACGGAGAAGGGCAAUGAAUGACAUCAGUGCUAUGUGUGUGCAUUUAAUACGUGUCAGUAGUGUUGGUCCUGUGAUCUUACAGCCAAUUGAAGUCCAGCCCCUCCCCAGCAAAUGAGCCUCUUGACACGCCGUAGUCAAGUAAAAGUUCCUCAUCCACCCUGAUGUCCCUCAUGGCGACGAAAAGUAUAAUGUCCGUUUCCUGCUCGACCGUGAACAGUCUGGGUCGCACGUUGGCGCGCUUGGUGGAGUGAUUGAUGAGCGGUCCCAUGGUUGUCUUGGUUGGGUGGCACUCGCAGUGGCUGUCAUGCGCGUCGAUGCACUUUCCUCUGCCCUUCUUGUCGGUGUAAAAAAACAUGUACCCAGUGUCAUUUUCCCCCGUGUUUUUGUGGGUCUGGAGUCCCUCUGCCCUGGAAACCGUGGUUUGCCGUGGUGAUCACAGACCACCUCCACUCUGACACAAAAACACAGUAGAAGAAUUAUAGAAGAAUUUGUAACUCUCACCUAACUCUACUUUUAUGAAAUAUAGGUCUCUGCUUCUGCUUUUCGGCUUGACUUGCGGGGAGCAAUAGUGGAGGCGGCAGACGUGCGGGGUGCAGAGCUGGAGGGGCCAGACGUGGAGGGGGCAGAGGUGGAGGGGCCGAAGUGUAGCACCGCCACAUAUGGGUUUUAGGAUUCCUUUUUAAUUCGAGGUUAACAGUAUAAGGGCUGACCACUAUGAAUGGAAUCCAUAUAAUAGAACAUUCCAUCCUCUACGUGUAUUAUGGCUGUUUUAAUUUAUUCCGGUCUGUCGUUGCAUUUUCAUUUUGCUUUGUUUGUGGGAAUCAGCUGGCUGUCAAAGCGGUCAGCUGACGCGCCACCCGGGAACUUUUCAAAUGCUUUUAAAAGGAAACACGGGUGUGGCAGGGAAGUGGAUAGAGGCGAAAAGAAACUCAGGGAGUCUGCGGGGGACCUGAACACCGAGAUCGGAAAGUGUACUUGAAAUAAAUGAAAGUGAAAAAGAAUUCAAUCACCCUUUUGGGAAGGUUUCCUUAAAGCUACACUCACCGAAGAUUCAUGUCUGAGCACGGGGUAUUGUCUUCCGAUCCCUAGUCUGCCAAACCGGUGAGUGUUCUUUUUUUUUUGCUGUUUGUUGGUUUUUUGGGCCCCUUUUUUUUUUUUUUUGGUGUAAUUUUUGGUUGCCCUUUUUUCGUAUUUCGUUUGAAUUACACGCUCUUUCUGAAUGACUUUCUACAUGGUAAGCAAGAGGUGCACGGAUGCAUAAAGCGCAGCUAGAGUUUUACCACCGGAACUUUAAGAACUGUAUUUGGUUUGUGUGUGAAUGAUAGGCGUUGGAUGUAUGUUUGUGUUGGAUGGUGGGUUAUUGACAGUAGACUUCAAAACGGCAUCUUCUGUGUUGUACUUUUAUUUUAUUUACCAAUCUGAAUUUGCUGCAAUUAAAAAGAAACGUCAAUCAUAUCUUAAAGAGAAUCAAUUUUAGCCCGUGUAUUUGUUGGUAGUAAUCGCUGUUUGGAUAGCUGAUUGUUACAGAAGGUGGUGGGGCCAGAGGUGCGGCAUACAGAAUCUCCGGGGGAGAGGGGUGAUACGGAAUCACUGGAAGUCCUCAUUUUGGAUGAUUCAGAAAACAGAAUGUGCCGAAGACUCUGAAACAGAUUGACAUACCGAUCCACGCGGACUCUUUGUGCACCCAGACGAACUUAAGGACCAUAUAAAAACCAUAUGUGUGGGGAGAACAAAUCACGCUGCACGAGGGAGAGACACAGAUUAACCGAAAGCUGUGCGCGUUCUCGGGCAGAGAAGGAGAACGUCUAAGAAAGCGAGUUGCAUCUUCUCCCUCUGCUCACUAUUUUCCCCUGUUUUAACAGGGGUACAACAUUUUGGAUGCACCGCUGGGAUAGCUGUUCUGAUGCCUGCUGUUCACAACCAGGCAGCCAACUUCUGAUCCAGUUAAUCCCCAACAAUAUAACCCCGGCAGAUUACAGUACGUUCGGUGAGAGUUCCAGGCAGUGGUGUAUGCUCCUGAUGAUUCUCUGAGGGCAGAGAUGGCCUCCUUUGUUCUCGACUACAUAUUCUCCCAACCAGAGGAUGAGAUCACAGAUGAGGGUGAUGAGGCAGAGAUGACGAUAGCAGUACUGCAGCGACGGAGGAACCAGCUCGCUGGGUACUACAAACGGAUCAUUCAAGGUGACUUGGAGAUCAGGGCUGCUGAUGUACUCAAAUAUUGCAGCAGGUUCUGCAGGGAUUAUGGAGACACAAUUAAAGAGACAAAUCCAAGAUCACAAAUCAGGUGGAGAGUGCUAAGAAAGCUAUGCGUCAUCAGACCUCAUGGACCUUGAUCCCAUCACCCCUAAUCUGCUGUUGAUGGGGCGGCUAGAUGCUUCUCUCCCUCAAGCUGUGUACGGCUCUAGUGACCUGCUGGGACUUCGCUGUUGGAAACACAGCCGGGUACUUGCUGAUCAUUUCUGGGGUCAGUUUGCAUGCAAGUACCUCCCCAGUCUCCAACCACGGCAGAAAUGGCGAAAUGCAGCUCCAGACUUAGCUGUGAACACUGUAGUUAUGGUGGUGAACCCACAGCUCCGUAGGGCACUUUGGCCUGUUGGGCGCGUCCCAAGAAUCAUCCCUAGUGACAACAGCAAGAUCGGUACAGUGGAGGUGGAGAUCGCGUUUCCAAACUGAUAGAGCUCCCAAAGAUGCCAGACAAUGGUGAAACCAGUGACAAACUUGUUGGACGAAGGAGGACGCUUAACUAACAGAGAAGGAACAUGGAUUAGGGAGGCAUCUUCCUGGCCGGGACACUUAAAGGAGACAUCGAGCACAUGACAGCUGACCUACUCCAAGAGGAGAUACCGGAGUGGACAGAGACGCAGGCGGCGAUCCACCUCCACCAGCCAGAGCGUGUUCGGCUGUGAGGAGAGUUAGCGCGAGCUGUUUGCUUGGGGGGCCCAGCUCCGGUUCAGCCAGGAAGGGCCAAAGGGCGAAGGUGACACUCUCUCAAAGCACUGAUGGAAGGCGUGUCACUUGGGCCCGAGACAGAGCCCGGCUCCCACUGGGCGCGCUCCCCCUGCGAAGAAGAGCGGCGUGACCAGCUGUGGCACACUUUACGGCUUCGUCCC